rnacentral:rRNA from 1 species
UACCGGCAGCUCGAGUGAUGGCCGAUUUUAUUGGGCCUAAAGCGUCCGUAGCUGGCCCUGCAAGUCCGUCGGGAAAUCCACUCGCCUAACGAGUGGGCGUCCGGCGGAAACUACAGGGCUUGGGACCGGAAGACUUGAGGGGUACGUCUGGGGUAGGAGUGAAAUCCUGUAAUCCUGGACGGACCGCCGAUGGCGAAAGCACCUCAAGACGACGAAUCCGACAGUGAGGGACGAAAGCUAGGGUCUCGAACCGG